rnacentral:rRNA from 3 species
ACGAACGCUGGCGGCGUGCCUAAUACAUGCAAGUCGAGCGGACCUUGAGAGAGCUUGCUCUCUCAAAGUUAGCGGCGGACGGGUGAGUAACACGUGGGUAACCUGCCUGUAAGACGGGGAUAACUCCGGGAAACCGGAGCUAAUACCGGAUAAUAAAGGGAAGUGCAUACUUCCUUUUUGAAAGUCGGCUUCUAGCUGACGCUUACAGAUGGGCCCGCGGCGCAUUAGCUAGUUGGUGAGGUAACGGCUCACCAAGGCGACGAUGCGUAGCCG